AACGAACGCUGGCGGCAUGCCUAACACAUGCAAGUCGAACGAGACCUUCGGGUCUAGUUGCGCACGGGUGCUUAACGCGUGGGAACCUGCCCUUAGGUUCGGAAUAACUCCCCGAAAGGUGUGCUAAUACCGGAUAAUGUCUUCGGACCAAAGAUUUAUCGCCUUUGGAUGGGCCCGCGUUGGAUUAGCUAGUUGGUAGGGUAAAAGCCUACCAAGGCGACGAUCCUUAGCUGGUCUGAGAGCAUGAUCAGCCACACUGGGACUGAGACACGGCCCAGACUCAUACGGGAGGGAGCAGUGGGGAAUAUUGGACAAUGGGCGAAAGCCUGAUCCAGCCAUGCCGCGUGAGUGAUGAAGGCCUUAGGGUUGUAAAGCUCUUUUACCCGGGAUGAUAAUGACAGUACCGGGAGAAUAAGCUCCGGCUAACUCCGUG
rnacentral:rRNA from 1 species